UUGUCCCUGCUGUGUUCGUGACUAGGUCAUAUAUUCUCAGAACCAAUGCUUAUGGCAUACAUAGGUUGCGGGAUAGUUCGACGGGCAUGCGAGUCUCUAGCAGAUUCGCUCAAAGUCAACAGAGCGCGGCCAACUUGAACUUACGGUUCGAGAUGCCGGCCUAAACGGCACAAGCGGGGCAUCU
rnacentral:other from 1 species